UUGAUAUGAUUGUUAUAUCCCUUUGUUAUGAAUGCAAAGUGUUGCACGUGUUGUGAACUGAGUGAUUAAGUCUAUGUUGAAUGUGCGAGAGAAUGUGUUAGUCAGUAAGGUCUUGCUCCCGGUCCAGGAAGGUUGGACGUUUACUUCCUGGACUGGUAUUUAUGUAUUUAUAAGUUGAUGGACUGGUGUUUUGUUUAUUAAUAUUUACUUGAGCAAUAUUGGAUAUUAAAAUAUUGAUAUAUUCUUGGAAAUUUGGAGUUGGAGUUGAUGUGUAGGCUAUCUAGUGGUAACUGUUCUUAUUUGAGUAAUUAAACAAGUAUUGUUAGGUGUAAUUGAGUAUUCAUACCCCUAGCGAGCCUAGUCAACAAGAACAAGAGACAGAGCAUAGCAGUAGCAGCAGCAGUAUAUAUUUAUAUAAUUAAAAACCUCUGACAUCUGGAGGCUUCGUCCGGGCAGGUAUCGUUGUACCUGUUACCUGUAUUAUUAAACACCAGUGUAUUAACCGGUGUACUAAUACAGUAUUAUUCUUGACAUCUAUCUGAGGGCUAGUCCGGGCAGGUCAGUUAUACCUGUUAUGUCAUUCGUCACGUUGAAGUCGUCGAUAAGAAAAUAAAGAAUAAGCAACACAAGCAAAGAAAAGGAUACCGAAUUUUUUGAGCUUCGUCCGGUCUGGGACAGUAACUAUUGUACAUGACAUUGUCUACUCAAGUUGGAUUCAAGGCAAUCUGUAUUAUUUGUAACCUACUACUCGUUGACAUUUUGGGCCUCGUUCGGCCAGUAUUUGAGAGUCUCUUGACACAAAUUGAAGGACUUGACAUUGUUUACAUUUUUGAGAACACGGAGGAACUAUUUUUUUUCGCCAUCAACACGUUAUUGUUGAAGUCAAGGUCAUUGACUAAUGUGGACUUGUAGCUACUUCUUGUAUACCGAGGUCAUUGCGUCACCCACCAUUUAAAGGGACAUCACCAUUUAAAGAGACAUCACCAUUUAAAAGGACAUCACCAUUUAAUGAGACACUACUACUACUACUACUACUUACUUAGUAUUGGAUUAUUGGAAUUAGAGACAUCGCCAUUUAAAGAGACAUCGCCAUUUAAAGAGACAUCGCCAUUUGGAGACAUCGCCAUUUAAAGGGACAUCACCAUUUAAAAGAACAUCACCAUUUAAAAGGACAUCACCAUUUAAUGAGACACUACUACUACUACUACUACUUACUUAGUAUUGGAUUAUUGGAAUUAGAGACAUCGCCAUUUAAAGAGACAUCGCCAUUUGGAGACAUCGCCAUUUAAAGGGACAUCACCAUUUAAAGAGACACUACUACUACUAGUUUUCACUUACUAUUGAAUUAUUCUACAUGAAUGCAAUUACUCAAGUAAUCGUGAUUUAUCUACCUUUACUACAUUGAUGUUGGAUUAUUAUUAAAUUAUUGUACUACCUGACUAGAUAAUCAUUUUUUGUAUGCACCCAUUAUUAUUACUAUUAGUAUCAUAUCAAUGUUUGAAUAAUUUUGUUUUGUAUUUGUUUCAUUCUCUAAAUCUGCUGUGAGUCAUAAAGCGUUUACAAGGAGGCUGAACAGCGACCUGACACUCCAGAAGUUCUACAUUCUUAAAGCAACCCUGUCGUGUGGGAAGAGUCGUCAUUUAUUUCCUGGCAUCAGACACAGAUAAGUUGAGUUUUCUUUUGUCUGUUGUAUCGAGCAUUCAGGGUCGAGUGUACAUUGCCUUUUCAGUAGGGGAGAUAAAGGUACAUCCGAAAUAGCUUGCUGUGUGUUGCACCAAGUAGAUGGCUUCCUUCCGGUUAAGUGCAGAGAGCUGAUACAUGGAGAGUAGCAUUACUUCAUUAGUAGCGUGAGUGUCCAACGCCUAGACAGAUACCUCUGAUACCCAGGAGGAUGCACAAUUCAGUUUGACCACAGACCAUUGUCUACUAGCAGAUACACUGUCAAGACUUAGCAUAUUUGUAUUAGUUAUAAUUGGUAAAAUUUUUUUUUUUCCCAAUACAAUGUGAAACGUGCCUUUAACUAUUAGAGAUGGUAUCUUGUCGUAUAUUAUUGCCAUACAUAAGAGUUGAUCUUUUCUUGUAUGUUUGCUGUUUUACAUAUUAAAUAUUAACGUGGAAAGGACUAGGCUUGCCGACUUCAAAUUGUAAUUAACUCUCCAUGCCACUAUUUUUUUUUCUCAUUUAUUCUUUUCUCUCUUUCCCUUUGUUGUAAAUAGCUGGACAUAUUUCUUCUGUUAGGUUUAUAAGGGCUAUUUCACUUUCAUGUACAUUAUAUACAUUUGUGUGUAGAUAUAUAUGUUUAUAUAUAUAUGUAUAUAAGUAUGUGUAUGACACAGUGUGUGUAUGUAUGUAUAUUUAUGUAUAUAUUUGAAUGACUGUUAUCUAAUAACAUCUAAUAUCAGUCAUAUCGUGAGAGGGGGGAUGUCAGGGAGAGGUAUGGCGAGAAUGAAUGUUAGUUUGAUAUGAUUGUUAUAUCCCUUUGUUAUGAAUGCGAAGUGUUGCACGUGUUGUGAACUGAGUGAUUAAGUCUAUGUUGAAUGUGCGAGAGAAUGUGUUAGUCAGUAAGGUCUUGCUCCCGGUCCAGGAAGGUUGGACGUUUACUUCCUGGACUGGUAUUUAUGUAUUUAUAAGUUGAUGGACUGGUGUUUUGUUUAUUAAUAUUUACUUGAGCAAUAUUGGAUAUUAAAAUAUUGAUAUAUUCUUGGAAA